GACCGUUCGAUAAGGUACCUCUGGCUUUUUCAUCUGAUAUAGUCUCGCAAGCUAUCAAUUCAACACUGAACCAUGAAAAAUAGCCCUUUAGAAACUCUCAUUCUCCUUGUUGCAUGUCAUUUAAUCGUGUGGUUGGAGCGUGUCCCUGUCUUCUUCAAGCGAAUGCUCCAAAAGAGCCUUGCUUCAAUUGUGGUCAGCUUCUAAUUGAUCCUAGCAGCAAU
rnacentral:lncRNA from 1 species